rnacentral:rRNA from 1 species
UGGGGAAUUUUGGACAAUGGGCGAAAGCCUGAUCCAGCAAUGCCGCGUGUGUGAAGAAGGCCUUCGGGUUGUAAAGCACUUUUGUCCGGAAAGAAAUCCUUGGCUCUAAUACAGUCGGGGGAUGACGGUACCGGAAGAAUAAGCACCGGCUAACUACGUGCCAGCAGCCGCGGUAAUACGUAGGGUGCAAGCGUUAAUCGGAAUUACUGGGCGUAAAGCGUGCGCAGGCGGUUUGCUAAGACCGAUGUGAAAUCCCCGGGCUCAACCUGGGGAACUGCAUUGGUGACUGGCAGGCUAGAGUAUGGCAGAGGGGGGUAGAAUUCCACGUGUAGCAGUGAAAUGCGUAGAGAUGUGGAGGAAUACCGAUGGCGAAGGCAGCCCCCUGGGCCAAAUACUGACGCUCAUGCACGAAAGCGUGGGGAGCAAACAGGAUUAGAUACCCUGGUAGUCCACGCCCUAAACGAUGUCAACUAGUUGUUGGGGAUUCAUUUCCUUAGUAACGUAGCUAACGCGUGAAGUUGACCGCCUGGGGAGUACGGUCGCAAGAUU